AGUGAACGCUGGCGGUAGGCCUAACACAUGCAAGUCGAACGGCAGGACAGUAAGCGUUUGCUCUUACGGGUGGCGGGUGGCGGGCGAGUGAGGAAUACAUCAGAAUCUUCUUUUUCGUGGGGGAUAACGUAGGGAAGCUUACGCUAAUACCGCAUACGACCUACGGGUGAAAGCAGUGGAUCUUCGCACCUUGCGCGAUUCAAUGAGCCGAUGUCGGAUUAGCUAGUUGGCGGGGUAAGGGCCCACCAAGGCGACGAUCCGUAGCUGAUCUGAGAGGAUGAUCGGCCACACUGGAACUGAGACACGGUCCAGACUCCUACGGGAGGCAGCAGUAGGGAAUAUUGCGCAAUGGGCGCAAGCCUGAUCGAGCAAUACCGCGUGGGUGAAGAAGGCCUUCGGAUUGUAAAGCCCUUUUAUUGGGAAAGAAAAGCAGCAUGUUAAUCCCCGGCUGUUCUGACGGUACCCAAAGAAAAAGCACCGGCUAACUUCGUG
rnacentral:rRNA from 1 species